GUAGGGAAUAUUGCGCAAUGGACGAAAGUCUGACGCAGCGACGCCGCGUGAGUGAUGAAGGCCUUAGGGUCGUAAAGCUCUGUUGAAUGGGAAGAAAAAAAUGACGGUACCAUUCGAGGAAGGACCGGCUAACUUCGUGCCAGCAGCCGCGGUAAUACGAGGGGUCCUAGCGUUGUUCGGAAUCAUUGGGCGUAAAGGGUGUGUAGGUGGCCAUGUAAGUCAGGUGUGAAAGCCCCGGGCUCAACCCGGGAAGUGCACUUGAUACUGCGUGGCUUGAGUACCGAAGAGGGUAGUGGAAUUCCAGGUGUAGUGGUGAAAUACGUAGAUAUCUGGAGGAACACCGGUGGCGAAGGCGGCUACCUGGUCGAGUACUGACACUGAGACACGAAAGCAUGGGGAUCAAACAGGAUUAGAUACCCGAGUAGUCC
rnacentral:rRNA from 1 species